rnacentral:ncRNA from 1 species
AGGCGCCGCAGAGAUGCGGCCUAACAGGGAAGCGGGGUGAGAAUCCUCCACGGAGCCGCCACUGUGACAGGGGAGAGGGUUUCAUUAAGUCACUGGGAUUAGUCCUGGGAAGGCGAAACUUAUUCGAUGAUCCUUAAGUCAGGAGACCUGCCUGGAAAA